CGAGGUCUGCCCCCGCUGCUCCGCUCCGCCGCCCGCCCCGUUCCGCUCAGCCCCGCGCCGCUGACAAAAACACCCGUGGGGACCCCCCCGCUCCGCACCGCCCCGGCCGCCGCCCGACUCACCUGCCGGUGGCCGCCAGGCAGUUGAAGAGGACACUGGCAAGUGAGAACGAUCAUCCUGUGUUGCCUGGAGAAAACAGCAAAUGCAUUUCCAGCGUGCCAGGAAAGCUCUUUCUAGAAGAAUUAACGCUGUUGUAAAAGCACCCCUCCGAUUCCCUCGUGUUGAAAUGAGACAAUGGAGGACUGCUAGGGUGGCUGAGGAAACAGGGCACCUGUCUGUCAGGAAGAGGCUGAAGAGCUUGGCAUAUGAGUGCUCUCUGUAAAUACUUGAGGAGUUAACACCAGCAAGAGGAAAGAACUCUUUAAUUUGAAGGAUGAAGCUGUGAACAAACUUUCACUAGUUUUCAGAAACAGCCAUGAGCGACAAAGGAUCUUCCGUUUUACAGUAAAUUUGCCACACGCUUCCAUAAAUGCUGACAAGUCAGGAGCUAUGACAAACAGCGCUCAGCCCCGCGAUGGAAAUCGCCGCUGUCCUUACAGCACAGCCCCAGCAGAUGGCAAGAGGGUCCGCCUCGCUGCUCGACUGACAGAGGUUUGACAGGACUGGGAAAACACAAACACUUCUUAUUCCCCUUUCUUUCGUUAAAAGCCACCACGAUAGCUCACUAAACCCAACCCCAUUUCUCUCGUUAAUUCAAGCGAAUUAACAACACUACAUCGCCUGGUCCAAGGACGUGACACGGGGUGACUGCUGAGAGAGGCACAAGCCCACACUGCCCCUCUGAUGCCUGUCCUGCUUGGGUUUUUCUCCUCAGAAGUUCAAAGCACGAAAUGUCGAGACACACUGUACUUGUGUAAGGACUGUGUAUGUGCCAACCGUUGUCUCAGCAUUGUUGCAGUGGUGAAAACAGGAGGACAACUCUGUUACCGCAAGGAAAAGGGCAUUAUAAAAGAAACGAAUUUGCGUUUCACGUGCCUGAACACAAUCGCCGCAGCAUUUACCCGCUCCCACGGGUGACGCGAUCAACACCCCGCGGCUGCCGCGGCGCUCUGCGCGCUCCCCGCGGCUCCGGACGCGCGUUCGCGUGGCACCGGCGGCCCCGACGGACCCGUGGGGUGACACGGCCCUGCCGGUGACACAUCCCGGGCGGCACAUCCCGUGUGACGGAUCCCCGGUGACACA